rnacentral:rRNA from 1 species
CCUACGGGAGGCAGCAGUGGGGAAUAUUGGGCAAUGGGCGCAAGCCUGACCCAGCAACGCCGCGUGAAGGAAGAAGGCUUUCGGGUUGUAAACUUCUUUUCUCAGGGACGAAGCAAGUGACGGUACAUGAGGAAUAAGCCACGGCUAACUACGUGCCAGCAGCCGCGGUAAUACGUAGGUGGCAAGCGUUAUCCGGAUUUACUGGGUGUACAGGGCGUGUAGGCGGGAAAGCAAGUCAGAUGUGAAAACCAUGGGCUCAACCUGUGGCCUGCAUUUGAAACUGUUUUUCUUGAGUACUGGAGAGGCAGACGGAAUUCCUAGUGUAGCGGUGAAAUGCGUAGAUAUUAGGAGGAACACCAGUGGCGAAGGCGGUCUGCUAGACAGCAACUGACGCUGAGGCGCGAAAGCGUGGGGAGCAAACAGGAUUAGAUACCCUUGUAGUC